rnacentral:lncRNA from 1 species
CUUUACUCUAAUAUUCAUAUUCUUAUGUGUUAGAUGUUUUUCCUCUUAUAGAACUCCCUUAUCUCCUUAGGAGUCCAGGUUAGCAUUUCUGUAUGGGAUCCCUCAGGAAAGUACUUAACCUCUAUCAAAGAACUUUCACUAGAGAAGAUAUCCUGAGGCCAUUCUCCAGGUAAUGUGCUUUCUUUGGCUGCCAUGCAGGCUGAUUCCUCUCUCAAACAUCUUUCAGAAAAAAAAAAUACCAACACUGGGAUGAUAGGUCCAGAACCGAUGUCAAGCAUUUGAUCACCUGAUUCCCGAUCACCUUUCUGCUUUACAUUAUCCACUGGGGAGUUGGACAUCUCUAAUGAAGAGGUUUCCUGUAAGUGUGAUGAUGGUGGAGUACAAAUCCAGGAAAUGCAGCUGUUUGUAUUCUCAGUGUCUGAUCUCCCUGAGUGACCUAGUCUGCUCUCCUGGAAGACCUUGA